rnacentral:rRNA from 1 species
CUACCAUGCAAGUCGAGCGGGAUGGAUCGGUUUAGUUUACUAAGGUGGUACAUCCAGCGGCGGACGGGUGAGUAACGCGUGAGCAAUCUGCCUUGUACAGGGGGAUAACAGCCGGAAACGGCUGCUAAUACCGCAUAAGGCCACAGUACCGCAUGGUACAGGGGUCAAAGGAGAGAUCCGGUAUAAGAUGAGCUCGCGUUCCAUUAGCUGGUUGGUGAGGUAACGGCCCACCAAGGCAACGAUGGGUAGCCGGCCUGAGAGGGUGAACGGCCACAUUGGGACUGAGACACGGCCCAAACUCCUACGGGAGGCAGCAGUGGGGGAUAUUGCGCAAUGGGGGGAACCCUGACGCAGCAACGCCGCGUGAGUGAAGGAGGCCUUCGGGUCGUAAAACUCUGUGACAGGGGAAGAAGAAAGUGACGGUACCCUGAGAGGAAGCCCCGGCUAACUACGUGCCAGCAGCCGCGGUAACACGUAGGGGGCGAGCGUUGUCCGGAAUUACUGGGCGUAAAGGGUGCGUAGGCGGCCAGGCAAGUCCGAUGUGAAAUACCAUGGCUAAACUGUGGGGGUGCAUAGGAAACUGUCUGGCUUGAGUGCAGGAGAGGGAAGUGGAAUUCCUAGUGUAGCGGUGAAAUGCGUAGAGAUUAGGAAGAACACCAGUGGCGAAGGCGACUUUCUGGACUGUAACUGACGCUGAGGCACGAAAGCGUGGGGAGCGAACAGGAUUAGAUACCCUGGUAGU